UGUCUUUUUGAAAAUAAUAUAAAGUCUAAUCUGCCCACUGAUUUAAUAAUUGAAGGGCUGCAGUAUAUUGACUGUACAAAGGUAGCAUAAUCAUUAGUCAUUUAAUUGAUGACUUGUAUGAAGGAUUGGAUGAAAUAUAGACUGUCUCUUAAUUAAACAUAGAAUUUAAUUUUUUAAUUAAAAAGUUAAAAUAAUUUAAAAAGACGAGAAGACCCUAUAGAGUUUUAUAAAUAAAUUAAUUGAGAUUAUUUAUUAAAUAAAAAUUAAAAUUAAGUUGUUUAUUAUGUUGGGGUGAUAGAAAAAUGUAAUUAACUUUUUUUAUAUAUGAAAACAUUUAUAAGUGAUUAUAUGAUCCAAUAUUAUUGAUUAUAAGAAAAAAUUACCUUAGGGAUAACAGCGUAAUUUUUUUUUUUAGUUCAUAUAAGAAAAAGAGUUUGCGACCUCGAUGUUGGAUUAAGAUAAAAUUUAAAUGCAGAAG
rnacentral:rRNA from 1 species